rnacentral:rRNA from 1 species
GUCGAGGAUCUUCGGCAAUGGGCGCAAGCCUGACCGAGCGACGCCGCGUGUGCGAUGAAGGCCUUCGGGUUGUAAAGCACUGUCGGGGGGGAGAAAAGCCGCAAGGCUUGAUCGACCCCCGGAGGAAGCACGGGCUAAGUUCGUGCCAGCAGCCGCGGUAAGACGAACCGUGCGAACGUUGUUCGGAAUCACUGGGCUUAAAGGGCGCGUAGGCGGGCUUGCAAGUCAGGGGUGAAAUCCCACGGCUCAACCGUGGAAGUGCCUUUGAUACUGUGAGUCUCGAGGGAGGUAGGGGCGUGCGGAACUUCCGGUGGAGCGGUGAAAUGCGUAGAUAUCGGAAGGAACACCGGUGGCGAAAGCGGCGCGCUGGACCUCUACUGACGCUGAGGCGCGAAAGCCAGGGGAGCAAACGGGAUUAGAUACCCUAGUAGUCC